rnacentral:misc_RNA from 1 species
UGCGACUCCUGUGCUCAUUGGACUCACACGGACUGCGCAAUUCGUGAUAAACAAAUUGGAACAGGUCCUUCUUCUGUGAAUGGGCUGGGGUCUGCUGAAAUGCAGUUCAGGUGUAGAGCAUGCAAUCGCACUUCUGAGCUUUUUGGUUGGGUGAAAGAUGUAUUCCAACAAUGUGCACCUACCUGGAAUGGGGAAUCAUUGAUAAGAGAACUAACUGUUGUAAGUAAGAUCUUUCGACUGAGUGAGAACACAAGAGGGAGGCAGCUGUUUUGGAAGUCUGAGGAGCUCAUAGAAAAACUAAAGGGUGGAGUGGCAGAGACAACAGCUUGCAGGAUUAUAUUAACUUUUCUCCAAGAGCUUGAGAUGGACUCAUCAAGGAGCUCUGAGGCUGGAAAUAAAGAAAGGAUGAUUCCACCCCAGGAGGCAUGCAACCGAAUUGCUGCAGUGGUACAAGAAGCAGUGCAGACAAUGGGAGUAGUGGCUGAUGAAAAAUUGAGGAUGCUAAAGAAAGCUCGCCAAGCUCUCGAGACAUGUGAUCAUGAACUGGAGGAAAAAGCUAAAGAAGUUUCAGAACUUAAACUGGAGAGGCAACGAAAAAGACUACAAAUUGAUGAAUUAGAGAGCAUUGCUAGGCUUAAAGAAGCAGAAGCAGAUAUGUUCCAGCUCAAGGCAGAUGAGGCAAGACGAGAAGCUGACAGGUUGCAGAGGAUUGCUCUUGCAAAAUCAGGGAAAUCAGAAGAAGAUUAUGCCAGUAGUUACCUUAAACAACGUCUUAGCGAGGCUGAAGCUGAGAAACAAUUCCUUUUCGAGAAGAUUAAACUUCAAGAUCAGAGUUCUCGUUCAUCACAAGGCAAUGACAUCGGUGACAGUUCACAAGAACUUUACUCUAAAAUACAAGAGAUCCUAAAGAGUGUGUAGAAAUCCCAGUAAAGCCAGAGACAACCAGCCAAAUGAACAUCAUUGUAAGUUGCCUGAUCAUUGUUCAUGGUUUGUGUCAUUUUAACUUAAUACUUUAAAUAAUACAUUACCUAAAACCUUGUAUAAUUGAUUAAUUUUGCUUUUAAAGUACCACUGUAUUGUUG